AGAGUUUGAUCUUGGCUCAGAUUGUACGCUGGCGGCAGGCUUAACACAUGCAAGUCGAACGGUAACAGGAAGGAAGCUUGCUUUCUUUGCUGACGAGUGGCGGACGGGUGAGUAAUGCUUGGGAAUCUGGCUUAUGGAGGGGGAUAACUACGGGAAACUGUAGCUAAUACCGCGUAAUAUCUUCGGAUUAAAGGGUGGGACCGUAAGGCCACCUGCCAUAAGAUGAGCCCAAGUGGGAUUAGGUAGUUGGUGGGGUAAAGGCCUACCAAGCCGACGAUCUCUAGCUGGUCUGAGAGGAUGACCAGCCACACUGGAACUGAGACACGGUCCAGACUCCUACGGGAGGCAGCAGUGGGGAAUAUUGCACAAUGGGGGGAACCCUGAUGCAGCCAUGCCGCGUGAAUGAAGAAGGCCUUCGGGUUGUAAAGUUCUUUCGGUGAUGAGGAAGGCGGUUGUUUUAAUAGAACAAUCGAUUGACGUUAGUCACAGAAGAAGCACCGGCUAACUCCGUGCCAGCAGCCGCGGUAAUACGGAGGGUGCGAGCGUUAAUCGGAAUGACUGGGCGUAAAGGGCACGCAGGCGGUGACUUAAGUGAGAUGUGAAAGCCCCGGGCUUAACCUGGGAAUUGCAUUUCAUACUGGGUCGCUAGAGUAUUUUAGGGAGGGGUAGAAUUCCACGUGUAGCGGUGAAAUGCGUAGAGAUGUGGAGGAAUGCCGAAGGCGAAGGCAGCCCCUUGGGAAUAUACUGACGCUCAUGUGCGAAAGCGUGGGGAGCAAACAGGAUUAGAUACCCUGGUAGUCCACGCUGUAAACGCUGUCGAUUUGGGGAUUGGGCUUUAAGCUUGGUGCCCGUAGCUAACGUGAUAAA
rnacentral:rRNA from 1 species